CCUACGGGAGGCAGCAGUGGGGAAUAUUGCACAAUGGAGGGAACUCUGAUGCAGCGACGCCGCGUGAGUGAAGAAGUAAUUCGUUAUGUAAAGCUCUAUCAGCAGGGAAGAAGAAAUGACGGUACCUGAGUAAGAAGCCCCGGCUAACUACGUGCCAGCAGCCGCGGUAAUACGUAGGGGGCAAGCGUUAUCCGGAAUUACUGGGUGUAAAGGGAGCGUAGACGGUGAUGUAAGUCUGGAGUGAAAGGCGGGGGCCCAACCCCCGGACUGCUCUGGAAACUAUGUGACUGGAGUGCAGGAGAGGUGAGCGGAAUUCCUAGUGUAGCGGUGAAAUGCGUAGAUAUUAGGAGGAACACCAGUGGCGAAGGCGGCUCACUGGACUGUAACUGACGUUGAGGCUCGAAAGCGUGGGGAGCAAACAGGAUUAGAUACCCCAGUAGUC
rnacentral:rRNA from 1 species